UUUUUAUUAACUGUUGGAAGAAAUGAUAUUUUGUUUGGCCCCCUCCCAUAUAAAUAGGAGAGAAAAUGAAAAUGUCUGAAAUGAAUCCACCUGUGACAUGGGAUGAACAAGUCUCCUCUGUGAUGCAAUGCGAUAUAUGCAGGGGAGGGGAAUACACACACCACAACACAUUUCCUGCUUCUUCUUUUUCUGCCACUCAGUGCAGAUAUAUAGCAAUAGUACCUCUUCUCUUCUCUAUCUUAUUUAAUGGCUUUCUGUUUUGCAGAGACCAAUUAACCACUGGUAACUAACGCAUGCACUUCAAAGGAAAUAAAGGGACUAACUAGAUUUUAUUUUAUGGCUCAUUUUGGAUUUCAAACAGUAACCACUUUGUUCAUUCAGAUUUGUUUGAGAAACCAGACAGAACACAAACUUUGGAAUAUCUCUGUGUUAUGCGCUUCUCCUUCUCAGCUUUUCAAAGUUAAGUCCAUUUGUUUAAGUUUUGAAGAUUAUAAGCUGAGAAAAAGUUUGGAGUCAGAAAAUUGCAAUGUUUUUUUCUUGAAAAUUUAAUUUAAGUUGUUCCUUAUGUUGCUCAAUUUUAAUUGAGUCAUUGAUGGAUCAUUUACUCAAUUUCUUUUCAAUAGUGGAAUAACCAGUGAUUCAGUUUAGAUAAGGGAUGGGUCCCCAAUGGUUAGUAGUAAUUGUAUUCUUCAGUGUUGACAGUUCUUCUUUGAUUGUUUUAUGCAACUUGAGUGCACUUUUUUCUUUGAAAAGAGUGUACUGUUUUUUUUAUUUUAUUACUUCUUUUUUCCAGUAAAGACUGGUUUAUUUAUUUACAAAUAUUGUCCCAAAUUAAAAUAGAUAAUCUUUUUUGUUUUUAAUAUAAUAUUAACUAUUUUUGUUCAAUUACAUUAUUUGUAUUAUUUUUAAGUUAAUUUGUUGCCUUUUAUAUUUAUAGUGAUACGUAAUUAAUUUGGAAAUUUUAUCUUCCACUAUACAACAUCUCUUGGUCUUUGAUAAGGGUUUUGAAGCUAUUGAUAUGGAGUCUUGUGAGCUUGAUUCCAAAAAGGUGCAAUAUUAGACAUUUGUGUUGGUUAUUAAUUCGAUAUAUUCUUAGUAUUUUGAAUUGGAUUCUUACUCUUUCACUUAUAUGUGAAACAAAAAAUGCCUUGAUAUUUUUGUCAAUAGUCCUCAUAUGGCCAAUCUAGAUAGAUUUUUUUAAUGUAACAGCUGACUUUGUUUUAUUUAUUACAUUAGCUGAUAAAAGUUGUCUCUUUUCUAUAGAUUUCUAGUUUUGUUUUCUUUUGCUAUGGGGCUUGGCCAAGUCUUAUUACAAAGUAGACUUGAUCAUAGUAAUUUAAUAAAAAUGGUAUUUAUCUAA